rnacentral:rRNA from 1 species
GAUGAACGCUGGCGGCGUGCCUAAUACAUGCAAGUCGAGCGAACAGACGAGGAACUUGCUCCUCUGACGUUAGCGGCGGACGGGUGAGUAACACGUGGAUAACCUACCUAUAAGACUGGGAUAACUUCGGGAAACCGGAGCUAAUACCGGAUAAUAUAUUGAACCGCAUGGUUCAAUAGUGAAAGACGGUUUUGCUGUCACUUAUAGAUGGAUCCGCGCCGCAUUAGCUAGUUGGUAAGGUAACGGCUUACCAAGGCAACGAUGCGUAGCCGACCUGAGGGGGUGAUCGGCCACACUGGAACUGAGACACGGUCCAGACUCCUACGGGAGGCAGCAGUAGGGAAUCUUCCGCAAUGGGCGAAAGCUUGACGGAGCAACGCCGCGUGAGUGAUGAAGGUCUUCGGAUCGUAAAACUCUGUUAUUAGGGAAGAACAAAUGUGUAAGUAACUAUGCACGUCUUGACGGUACCUAAUCAGAAAGCCACGGCUAACUACGUG